GGGCCCGUAGCUCAUUUGGCUAGAGCGUUUCUAUGGCAUAGAAAAGGUGGUGGGUUCGAAUCCCAUCGGGUCCA
rnacentral:tRNA from 1 species